rnacentral:rRNA from 1 species
AUACGUAGGGUCCGAGCGUUGUCCGGAGUUACUGGGCGUAAAGCGCGCGCAGGCGGCGGUGUAAGCAUGGCGUGAAAGCCCCAGGCUCAACCUGGGAGGGUCGUCGUGGACUGCACCGCUUGAGGGCGGUAGGGGCUGGUGGAAUGCCUGGUGUAGUGGUGAAAUGCGUAGAGAUCAGGCGGAACACCCGUGGCGAAGGCGGCCAGCUGGGCCGUCCCUGACGCUGAGGCGCGAAGGCGUGGGGAGCGAACGGGAUUAGAUACCCCGGUAGUCCACGCAGUAAACGAUGCAGACUAGGCGUGGGGGGAGUUGACCCCCUCCGUGCCGGAGCCAACGCGGGAAGUCUGCCGCCUGGGGAGUACGGCCGCAAGGCUAAA